AGGGGAUGAGGGGAGGGCGGAGGGGAUGAGGGGGAGAGUUGCAUAAACGUACAAACCGGUAACCGAGCUCGGUCUAGCGUGGACCGCUUCAGGGGAGUUUACAUACACGCGGGAAAGAACUUCUCACAUGCCCAUAACUCGUAAAUUUUUCAAAAUAAAUUUGUCUCAUUAAUUUUGAGGAGCAAUUGAUUUUACGGUGGAUUUCAUAUUUUAAUCGAAUUUUUUUGUUAUUUUAUUUGAUUUUUUUUUUUUCGUGACACUUGAGUGCUUCUGUGAUGUGGUGGUUUAUUUCGUGCACCAAGGGACUGCGGUGAUCUCAAUGCCCGACAGACGGCAUAGACGACCUGGACUGUCCUGCCUAGGAGGCCCGACAUUCGGUGAGGAGAGAGAGGUAAAGUCGUGUGAACGGUUGAGGAAGCGCGGAGAUACUGAGGACAGGGGACAAUGGGACGAUAAGAAGCCGCUCAUCAAAACAAAAGCUGUAAACAUAACAAUGAAUAGGCGAUAUAAAGCAAG